rfam:Dipodomys ordii contig_58209, whole genome shotgun sequence.
GGGAAGGUGGCUCAGUGGUAGAGUGCUUGCCUUGCAUGCAUGAGGCCCUGGGUU